UAGGAAUGGGAGGGUGGUUGGACUAGAUGGUCUUGCAGGUCGUUUCCAACCUUGUGAUUCUGUGAUAAGUAAUUAAGGAAAAGCAUGACUUCUGAAUAUUAGUACCUAGAAUUAUUUGUAAUUUUUUCCCCUAAUUCAAAGGUAGUUUGUCUUAUCCUUCGAUAAGAUACGAUUGGAUUUCAUGGAAAUAGAGAGGGUAGCCGUGCACUGACGUAGCAGAGGUAGAGCUGCUGAGGCCAGCAAGGAAGCUUUGGGAUUGCUGGUGGCUGCGAUGUUUGCAUGUCCCUGACAGCUGAGCUGUACACGCUCAGAUGGGCUCCCCAGCCCGGGCUUUGGGCUCCCACGGCCUCUGCAGAGCACUGGGAGGAGCUGGGGGCCGAAAGCCUGAGCUCUGCUCUGAGCUCUAAGCCCUGGGGAAGCCUCCUGGCCCUGCUCUGUGCGCAGUGUUCUCUUGACUGCUUCAUGUGGGAAGUGCCCCGGUGUGGGGCGAGCUCGUGAGGCUGUUUGCAAGCAGUUUGUGGCCUGCUUGCUGUGCCUGUUGCUUUGGCAGGCUCCUGGGGCUGGAUGUUGGUGCUCGUUGCUUCUGGCCUGGCUUAUGGCUGCUCUGGGACCGCUGUGGUCUCACGCCAUUGCUGUCCUUUGACACAGACACGCUGUUCUCACCGCUUGCUGCCUGCGUACCUCUCUGCUCGUGCUGCUGUCUGGGUGGUGAGGCUUUCCCUGGGCUCUGGCAGUGACUCAGCUUCGUCUCCUCGGGGUGUGCUCCUCACUGCCUGCCUUCUUAUCUCUUAGCAAUCCUGUGCUGAUCCAUGGAGGAUCUGUGUGCUGGAAACAAGUUGGUACGGCGCCUUCAGCGCUCGCUCCCUGCACCUUCCUCUCAUACCCUGCCUUCAUCACAGCUUGUUCCCAGGGCAAGGCAUCAGCUGCCUUCUGCAAGCACAGCUGUCGUCCUUAGAGGAAUCAGUGUUCUCAUUUCAAAACAGGAAUCUAACCACAACCCCCCUCCCCGAAACCAAACCCUGAACCCGCAGCCCUCGUGGGCAGCCUCAGGCAGUCUGAUGGUCUCUGUGAGAUAUUCCUCUGCUUUUCCACUUAGCUUCAUCACGUCAACUAUUCUUUGAACCUUGCUCUGAAAUGUCAGUUGGGGGUUGCCCUCGUUUCAGUGCUCUGUCUCAUGCUGUUGCUUGUGGGUUUUGCUGUGGAGACUGGGUAACAGAAAUGGGAGGAAAAAACCCACCAAAAACAAUGAAAACACACGGAUUCUGUAAUUGCUUUGGAAUCUGACGAGCAGCAGAUGGCUCUGUGCUCUUUGCGAGCACCCAUCCUCUGCAUACCAAGGACUAGCUACGUCACGUUGUUCAACAAGCCACAGAAAUUAUAUUUUAAUCCAACCUUGCUUCCCCCUUCUUCCUCCCCCACCCCCCGUGGUUUGUUGUUGCACUCAGUAGCUUGCCAUAAUGCAUUUCGUUCUGCCUGCUUCUGAUUGGAAACACAAGACACAACUUCAUUACAAGCUCUAUGGCUUCCCCCCACACUUAACAUACCGUACAAAUUGUUUGCUCAACUUUGGCAUCUUGCCUCAGAGGAAUUUUUGUCAUUUGAAGGUUUUAAAUCAGCUAUUUGAGCCACUCACAAUUGUAAAUAAUAGCCUAUUAGUUUAUAAGAGACAUACUUGCUGGCAUUUCAAGCCUCUCAGAGGGAUCACACUGUCUUGGAAACCCUGUAACGCCUAUGGAACUGAGCACUGUUUAAAGAAACCCCCAAACACUGCCCUGGGAAAAUUCAUUUAUAGAAAAUAAGUGAAACGAAUAGAUGUUUUUAGCCACAUGUUACUCAUUUUCUUUUUAUUGCUUUAACAUGUCUUCGCUGGAACAUGUUACCAUUGGAGGCUGCUGGUGCCAGCUGUACACCUGGCUCAAGUUGGGAAGAAAUGGAGUUUGGCCUUUCAUCUUCACUGCUUUCUGUUAUGAUUGGAACCGAGGGUUGGCCCCAGAUCAGACAAAGGGUGAGCUGAAAACCAUCCUCAGAGCUGGUUUCUAGAGGAAGCCUUAUAGGGUUGUGUGUGGGGGGUUUGGCUUUUUUUUUUUUUUUCCUUCUCUCCCUUUUUGGAGCUCUUGUAUUGAGUUUAUAUACUGGCAGAGGCAGGAAACCAUUGUGUACAAUAUGGCAAACAGAGCUAACAGGCAGUCAGGCCAAAGGCUAUAAAUUAUUAUUUUAAUUUCUUGGUUUAUGGUUUCUUGUUGACUCCAGAUCAAUAGGAGAAAGAUGCAUUGAGCCACCUCUUUUAAUUAAAAAGGCUUCUGUGAUUAGGCUCUAGUGAGGGAUGAAGAGGCGCGUGAAGAGGAUGUGCCUGGAAGCAGAUGGUGGUUUCCAGGGGGAGGAAUGCUGCUUUCCCCUGUGCUGUAUCACUCAUUUUCUAGUGGCCAAGUUUCUGGAGGAGCUAUGGGAGAAACCCAACUGCACUGCAGCUCACUUCACCCAGCUUUCUUCCAGCCUGGUUUGUGUUUGCGUCCUCACAUCCUGAGCCAGCAGACCUUGUUUCCCAUUGAAUAAAAAAGCACUGUGUUUUAGCAGACUCUUCUGCUUAUUUUAAAACAACUCCAGCUUCGUUUCACCCUCAACUUGGGCCACUUGCCCCAUAGUGCUGAGAAAUCGUUGGCAUUUGGUGCCUAACAGGUGCAGCAAUAUUUUUCUUUCCAAAGGAUUUCCAGAGUGAAAUGCACAUCUGUAACAAAGCCGGUAUUUUUCUGCUCAUCACCUUCAGACAUGGCCAUAAUUAAAUGCAGAUAUUAAUACCGAGGGCUACUUUGUGUUCCAUAAUCCGUAGGAGAAUGACCCGUUGCACAGCGCUUGUUUGAAGUCUUAGUUAACCUUUAAUCAUUUGAUGCUGAAUCUGGCUUUGAUUUUCACAGCAGAAAAAGUAUAUUUUGCAAAACCUUCAGGAAGGAAACGUGCCAAUCCCACAGUGUUUCUCAUCAUGCUGUGGAUGUUACUUUCAAAACCUCUUGGGUAAUGCUGUGAGCAACAAAGGCUUUUUCCAUUCCUUGCUUGCACUCCGCCUCUUGUAAGCCAGCAUUGGAGUAAUGACUUAAAUGCUGCUAACGUUUGUUUUGCUGAAGGAGACCUGGGCCAGUAGAGCAGGCCGGCGUGGUGCAGAUCUCAGAUGUGGAAUUUCCUCAGCUCUAAGAGUUGUGCCUAUGCUGGUUCAGCCAUCCCGGAAUCCUAGAGUUACCAAGAUUGGGAAAGACCUCCAAGAUCAUCCAGUCCAACCUCCAUCUACCACCAAGGUUUCCCAAUUCCGAGCUCCUGCUUCAAUAUUGCCUUGUGAGAAAACAGAAGGGUGAUGUUAAAAGGAUUUGAACAGUUCCUGGAGGUGUCCCAGCAAAGGCUGAAUACAUUUUCAGUGGAGAAAUGGAGAGCAGUGCAGCACAGCCUGCUCGCAGACGUGGCUUGCAGGGAAACUUGUGAGAGGACAUUGAUUUAUGAUCAAAAGGGAAAAAGCAAAGCAGAAUAAAAAGAA